UUCCUACGCAUCCCAUAGUCACUGACCUUCUGCCAGAUGGACUGCUGGAGCCUUGGUCAAUACAGUGCUGGAGCCUUGAUACUUUGAUAACCAAGUGAGCUAGGCCCAAAGCCACAUGUCUGGUGAGCUUGCAGCAGCCCAAGUUCAAGGUAAAUAGCAAUAAGGUUCAUUGAAAACAAUUUUUUGAUAUUUGGAUAUAUUGAUGCUAAUAAAUUACAAUAUCACGAGGAUUGAGCAUAACUUUAACUUGAAAACCAAUUUAAAAUUAUUUUUCUUUUAAAAGGAGGG
rnacentral:lncRNA from 1 species